UACGGAGGGAGCUAGCGUUGUUCGGAAUUACUGGGCGUAAAGCGCACGUAGGCGGCUUUGUAAGUUAGAGGUGAAAGCCCGGGGCUCAACCCCGGAAUUGCCUUUAAGACUGCAUCGCUUGAAUCCGGGAGAGGUGAGUGGAAUUCCGAGUGUAGAGGUGAAAUUCGUAGAUAUUAGGAAGAACACCAGUGGCGAAGGCGGCUCACUGGUCCGGUACUGACGCUGAGGUGCGAAAGCGUGGGGAGCAAACAGG
rnacentral:rRNA from 1 species